rfam:Dipodomys ordii contig_16116, whole genome shotgun sequence.
GGUGGCUCAGUGGUAGAGCUCUUGCCUUGCAUGCAUGAGGCCCUGGGUUCGAUUCCCCAGCACCA